GAAGGACACCAUAUGACUUAUAUUGAAUGUAUAAAUGCUGACUACAAAUCAACAAGAAAGGAGUCUUUUUAUGAUCUUCAGCUUGAUGUCAAAGGUUGCCGAGAUGUGUAUGCCUCAUUUGACAAGUAUGUUGAAGUAGAAAGGCUUGAAGGUGACAACAAAUAUCAUGCUGAACAACAUGGGUUACAGGUUGGAUGCUGAACAACAUGUGUUAUAAAUAUCGGAGCUUUCAAAUUUAUAUCUGGUGCAGAAAUGGAGACCACCAGCAAGGUCGCAGUGAGCCAGUGGCUCAGCUCGGACUAUCUGGUUCCGUGGAAGUGUCAAACUGAACAAUUGAGAAAACCAAGUCAAAUCUGGUCAACCGGGUUCCGUACACUCACUGAGAGCUACAAGCACCGACUCUUGCUUUGAUUAAUCAAAAUGACGCCUUAGAUGAUGAUAAAGAUGAGCCUCUGAAUGAAAAUGAUGAUGUGCACCAAGGUGAGGAACUAAAUACUCGACAUUUGGUUCUCAACUGACAGACUACACAAAGUUGACCAAAACCUCAGCACUCAUGUUG